GAGAGAGAAUUUACAUAUCAUGCAUUUUAAGUACAUGAUUCAACAACUUUUAGUAUAUUUACAGAAUUAUGCAACCAUUACCACAGUCUAGUUUUAGAACAUUCCCAUCACCCCACAAAGAUCCCUUUUGCUUGUUUGCGGUUAAUUCCCAUUCCUACUCCCAGCAACCACUGAUCUGCUUUCUGUCUCUAGAAAUUCUCUGUCUCGGGCCAUUUCGUAGAAAUGGGCUCAUGAAGUUACAAAGCUUUCUAACUAACUGGCAGACAAUGUGGGUUUUGGGGGGAUCCAACUAUUAAUGGAGGGGGAUUGUCUGUGAUGAUUCCAGAUUCCUAUAAACAUUUCAUGUAAGGACGCAAAGCAUACUUAAAGGAACUUCAGGGGACAAAAUGUGUAUCUUUUCCCAACUCGGUUGUGGGGUGGGGUCCUUGUCUGCAAGGCCAUGGAGGCCCUUCCUGCGUGCAUUCUUUCUGUAACUCAGUGGCAGAAGUUUGCAGAGUGCUAGCCCUGCCCCAGGAACACCUGGACACUGAGGCUGUGCCUGUCUUCUUGUGCCAUGCAGCCUUCCUCUGGGCAGGGAAGAGCACAUGAGUGUAAAUAACUGGAGUGGCCUCUUCUGGUUUCCUCCCCUUGGCCCUCUGGGAAACCCACUUCCAACCUAUGCUAGCCUGGAAUAGCUCUUUUCAGCGGAAACUCUUCCUUCGAGCACCAUCUCUUCAGCUUAAACUUAUCUGUUCUUGUUUUUUUUUUUUUUUUUUAACUUUUUUUCUUACAGAUUCUAGGUGUGUUCCCCAGGCUGGAGUGCAGGGGCUCGAUCAUAGCUCACUUCACUUUAGCCUCAAACUCCUGGGCUCAAGCAAUGCUCCUGCCUUAGCCUUCUGAGUAGCUGGGACUACAGGCAUGCAUCACCUCACCCAGCUAAAUUUUUUUAUUAAAGAUGUCUCACUAUGUUGCCCAGUCCAGUCUCAAACUCCUAGUCUCAAGUGACCCUCCCACCUCAGUGUCUUCAGUCACUGGGAUUAUGGGCAUGAGACACUGUGCCCAGCUUGUUCUGUUCUUGAUCUAGAAUUUAAAUUAGUUAAAAUUCUAGCCUUAACCAGAAUUCUAGAUUGUAUUUCUCGAUAAUCAUGUGUUCUUCCCAUUUUUAACCUAAAGAAAAUGCCUACCUCACCCCGCACCAAACACACACACACACACACACACCCCUUUUAGAUUCUAUUUCUAACUUCAUCAUGAGUAUUAUCAACUUCUCUGAGAUAUUUUGCAUUCUUUACUUUUAUUAUUUAGAGUCUGAAGAUGCUCAUGGUAAAUGCAAGAUUAUAGAGCUAACUUUUUGCACAAAAAGCCCACAAAACAGUCUUUGACAGAGCAUGUCAGUGUUACGUUUGGAUUUUAAAAGACAGUGAAGCUUAGCUGAGAUUCUGUUUUACAGAUUUUGCGAAUAAAUAAAAAGAUUCAGUUUGCUCUGGACUGUGUUAGCUGCAGUGCAGAGGGCGGAACCGGCUGAAGGAACUGCUGUGUAUUUUGAGCACAUCUCAGUCAGCUUCCGUUUCAGUCUUCUGUUUCCAUCACCCACACAGGCAUAUUCAAGAGUUCCUGCUACAUCGAUGUACGCUGGUUUCCCUUUGAUGUGCAGCAUUGCAAACUGAAGUUUGGGUCCUGGUCUUACGGAGGCUGGUCCUUGGAUCUGCAGAUGCAGGAGGCAGAUAUCAGUGGCUAUAUCCCCAAUGGAGAAUGGGACCUAGUGGGUAAGCCAUGAGACUAACAGCCUGGAAGAAAGCUCUCCUAUUCCUGGGCAAGCUUUAAAAGUUUGGGAUUUUCCACUGUCCUUUCCAGUGUGAGCAUUUAUUGAAUUUUGCAGUAGUCUCCAUAAUUUAGUGAGAGCUACAGGAGGAGAAACAGAAAACAGUUAGGAUAUGCCAUGCUUUCCAAGAGGAACUGGCAACUGUAGUGAGGAUGCAUUUAAACAAACCAGUGUGAGGAUAGAUAUCUCUACGUUAUUCAGAUCCACUCCAUUUCUAAAAGCGAGUUGAACAGCAAAUUUCAGUUGAUGGGAACCUAUAUUUGAUUAUUUUAAAUAGGAAAACAGUGAUUACAUUUAUAACUGUAAAAUUGGUAAUGUAUUAUUUAUAAUUAUUAUAAUCAUGUGUUUCCAAUCCACCAAAAGAAUAUCUACCAAUUUGGCCAAGUAUCACUAAAAUACUCUUAACUCUAUAGUAAAUCAACGAGGUUUUAUUCAAGCUAAUUACACCCCCCCCUUUUUUUUUUUUUUAGCACUUUGCAAACUUUAGGGCUGUGCUUGUGUAUGGUAUACACAUUGAAAUAAACAGGGUAAUUUAUUGUAUUCUAACAAAGGCUCCUUCUCUCCUCCUCCCUAUGGAGGAAUCCCUGGCAAGAGGAGUGAAAAGUUCUAUGAGUGCUGCAAAGAGCCCUACCCCGAUGUCACCUUCACAGUGACCAUGCGCCGCAGGACGCUCUACUAUGGCCUCAACCUGCUGAUCCCCUGUGUGCUCAUCUCUGCCCUCGCCCUGCUGGUGUUCCUGCUUCCUGCAGAUUCCGGGGAGAAGAUUUCCCUGGGUAAGUGCCCCGAUGUCUGGCGGGAGUCUGAGACUGGAGGCCCUAUGCUGAUGAGGUCAGCUCUGGAGGGCUCACGGCGGACAGCGCAGGACUCUAUCAGGUUUCCUAGGGAUUCCCUGGCUCAUCCCACAUGGACCUCCUAGCCCAGGGUGGCUCCAGGACACCAGAGGUCCCUGAUUCGGGCUCCGUGCUGGACGGCUGUGUGAUCCUGAGAAUACUGGAGGACCCUCAGAGGAUGGGGGAUGCACGGGGAGGGGCCAGCUCCAUUCUGCCAAGAGGGGCCUGUGCUUUCUUCCCUCCUGCCACCCCACCUGUUCCUCGAUGGCGACUGGUCAUCGAGGGAACAAUUUAGCCUAGUAUCAGCUUGCAUUUGUAUGUUACAGUACCCAGUGUAAUUCUUAUGAUCACUCCCAUACGAAGCUAAGGAAACCAAGAUUUUGAAUGGUGGAAUGAGUUUCCCAAUGUCUUAAAGAGUUACUAAACAUCAGAUGUAGCAUAUGGUAGAAAUCAUUCCCAAACCCGUAUCUUCUGAGUAUGAGGUUCAGAAAGGUUGAAUGUUAUAUCUAAGGUCACAUAGCUAGCUCAGUAGCAAAUGUAAGACCUGAAACCAGGUCUCCUGACUGCAUAUUUUCUUUUUCCUGCUACGUGAAACUACUUCUCAAUAAUAUUUUACAAAGAAUAUGAGAGAUAAUUGUGCCAAGUUAAAUUUUUCAGUUUGUGUUGAUGCUUUUAAAAUUCUGGGUCCUAAACUUGUCUCCAUAAGAGACUCCUUUGGGACUCUGGUAAGUGGCAUGGAAUGUCCCCUGGAAAAUGCACACGCCCGUACACAGGGAAAACGUGCAUUCCACGACAUUCCCCCCCAGCGCCUCCCUAGUUCUUUCGAGUGUCAGGUUAGGAGCCCUCCUUAGACAGAAUUGAGGCCUUCUUGUCUGCUUUGUCUGAGGAGCCGCUGUGUGUUUAUGUUUUAGGGAUAACAGUCUUACUCUCUCUCACUGUCUUCAUGCUGCUGGUAGCCGAGAUCAUGCCCGCAACAUCCGAUUCGGUACCACUGAUAGGUAAGGCAAGAGUCGGGCUCCUCUCUUAGAGAUAGGGGGUUAGGGUUAGAGUGUGCCCAGGAUUUCCCAGCAGAUGAAACUAGAAGAAAUAGGGCUGCACUGCCCCCAUUUUCUCUGGAAGGUGAUGAUUUGCUGUAACUAUUCAGAGUCACCUGGGCCCAAGUAAGGGGAAGGGGAUAUUCAGCUUUGAGGUUUGACUUUUAACUUGCAGAAAUGCCCCCCUUCCCCUCAUAAUUCUCCUUCUCAUGCUUGCUUUGAAGCCAGAUAUUUCAUCAUUACAGAUGCAGCAUUUUAGCUUAAGAUGUUGUUUUCCCACAAAGCCUUUGUUAAAAUGGGAGAAGCACACGGUUACUGUGUCCUGAGAUAACUCAAUGUCUCUGUAUAAAAUAAAAGUUUUUAGGGAAAUAUGAAUGAGAAAAAUAUAUUUUGCACAGGUAUAAGGCAUGACCCUCUACCCAGAGAGGGACAACAAAAACAAGAGUCUCCACUCCCACUGGGCAGUGAAGGUUGGAAGGAGGUAUACAGACUGUCAUUACACCUGCUGGCCCCUGCUGUCUGAGGACCCAUGCUGUGUCUACCUGGGGGUGGGCUAGAGGGAGAGCCCUACCUGGAUACCCCCAGGCUUUGGGAACCAAGCAGCAAAGGCCCUUCUUUGCGGAACUCCCUGUAUGUACAGUAUUUUGGCCAGAGAAACUGUUGGUAUGAAAAGCCUUUGUGGGUAUCAUUUUUCUCUUGGUACCAUCCAGACAGGGAAGAACCACCUUUCCACCUGAUUCUGACUCCAUUCUUUCUACCUUCUAGCACACUGCUUUCAGUAGAGAUUUGCAGCCACCUUUCCUGGGGCAGUUGUCAGGCCUUCUCUGGACUGAUUACCCGCCGGGAAAGGCUUGGUUUGUGCAUAGCCCACAUCUAGAAGGAUGGGAUGUUGAUGGCCCCAGGGACAUCAGCUUUGCUGCCCUCUGUUGAUGGAAUUUCAGUCUGGGCAAUCCUUUGACCCCCAUCUCUCCAGAGGUGGUUGGUCUGCUCAGGCUGCCAUGACAAAAUACUAUGGACUUAGGGGCUUAAAUAACAGAAAUUUAUUUUCUCACAGUUGCACUGCUGAAAGUCCAAGACCAAGGGGCCAUUAGGGAUGGUUUAACCUGAGACCUCUCCCCUUGGCUUGCAGACAACCACUUUCACAAUGCUUUGUCCUCCCCUGGUAGUUCCUCUGUGCACCUGCAUCCCUGGUGUCUCUCUGUGUGUCCAAAUUUCCUCUUCUUCAUUAAAAGAACACCAGUCAGAUUGGAUUAGGGCUUACCCUGAUGACCUAAUUGUACUUAAUUACCUCCUUAAAGACCCUAUCUCCAAGUACAGUCACAUUCUAGGGUACUAGGGGUUAGGGCUUCAACAUAUGAAUUCUAGGGGGAAGCAUAAUUCAGCUCAUAAGGGUCACGGUUUGCUCCUGUCUCCUUCCUUUUCUCAGGGGCCCUGACGCUAACUUUAGGUCUCGAACUUCCAGCUCUGGCAGAGCUCUUCCCAGGUACCUCUUGGUCUUUGUAGGAAAGCAGUGAGUUCCUUCCUGGCGUGAGGGCCAUUGCGGGCUAGCUGAAUGCUUAGCCUCCUGCACCCUGAUGCUUUCCGCUUAGAGCCCAGCCCCUUGAGUGGACAGCCACACCAAAGGUUUAAUAAUUAGAGCUGCCCACUAAAGAACGCCCCCUCCUUUCUCCUAGACAUCUUGGCCUGUGUAAUUGCUCAUCAUUGCACAAAUCCUGCAAGGAAGGGGUUCCUGUUUUAACGGAGGCUAUCGUAACAAAUUGCCGUCGACUGGGGGCCUAAACAACAGACAUUUAUUUCUCACAGUUCUGCAAGGCUGCAAGUCCUAGAUAAGGGUGGCAGCAGGGCUCUGGUGAGGGGCCACGCCCUGGUUUACAGCUGGCCCUCUUCUCGCUGUAGUCUCACGUGGCAAAAAGAGAGUGAAUUAGCUCUUUAGCCUCUUUUUAUGAAGGACUCUAAUCCCAUUCAUGAGGGCUGCACCCUCAGGACCUGUGCAAGGCCCCUGAGAAAAUCACUCACCAUUUCUCUACUUACACAACACUUCUGACACCAAAGCGGAGCGUUUCUCCCACAUCGACCAAUUCUUGGAAACCAGCUGGGCGUCCUACAGUUAGUUCACUUCAGUCCUGAUACCAACUGGAGUUAGCACAGCACUCACAGAUUAAGGCUCACAAGACCAUUUCCACUUGAGAUGCCAGUUAGAAGUUCCGGCUUCCCAUGCUUCUGACCAAGUGUCUAUAAAUCGGGGAGUUCCCAAAAGCACAUCUUUGAGUUCAGCCAUUUACUAGAGUGACUCACUCUAGUAUAAACUCAGGGAAACAUUUUACUGAUAUUUAUUCAUUAAUUAUAGAGCACAGAUGAACAAUCAGAUGAAAGAAAUGCAUAGGGCAAGGUAUUUGAGAAGGGGCAUGGAGCUUCCAUGUCCUCUCCGGGCACAUCACCCUCCAAACACCUCCGCAUGUUCAGCACUGGGAAGGUCUCCAAAGAACUCCAUCCUUUUGGGUUUUUAUGGAGGCUUCACUACAUAGGCAUGAUUGAUUACAUCAUUGGCCACUGGCAAUCAACUCAACCCUCAGUACCUCUUUCCUCCCCAGGGGUCAAGGGUUGGGAGAGGGGACAGGGCUUGAAGGUUCCAACUCUCUAAUUACUUGGCUGGUUCCCCUGGCAACCAAACCCCAUCCUGAGGGUAUCCAGGAACCUCAGCCAUAAAUCAUCUCAUUAGCAUAUAAAAAGACACUGAUGACUUCAGAGAUUCAAAGGUUUUAGGAGCUGUGUGCCAGGAAACCGGAGGAAGACCAAAUACAUAUUUCUUAUUAUAAAUCACAAUCUCAUACCUGCCAAAGCCCCACCUCCAGAUACCAUCCCAGUUAGGACUAGGGUUUUAACACAUGAACUUUGUGGGGACACAAACGUCAUCCUUUGCACCACUCCCCUUGGAGAGCUGAGGCCCAAAGAGGCUGAACAGCCACUCCAAACACAGCCAGUAGCUAGUGGACCGGGGUGGAAGCACUCAGAUGCUCCAUGCUGCCCCUCACCUGGGCCCAGGUGGAAGGACACCCAUGACCCAUUAGAACCAAAGCUGAGACUGAAGUUCUCGUCCUGAAAAGUCCCUGCCACUGACCCCUUCCUCAGGCUGGACAGCUGGCAGCCAGGUGGUGUGCAGGUUUGCCCUCAUUGUGCCCCUGGAGCACAGUAAAGGCCUGCAUCAUAAACACUGGGUGGUUCCUGUGCCCUCACAUCCAGGAUUUACUCACAGGAACAACCUUAUCACCAUCCUGCCAGGCGAUGCUAGCUCUUAUUGACUGACAAGGAGGCCAGAGUGCAUGGAAGUACAAUGAAGUGAGGGAAGGCCACUCCGUGGGCGGGAAGUCAGACCACGCUGGCUGGUUUUGCCCACCUAGAAUGUGGGCUGCAGGCCUGGCUGGUGGCAGGAGGCCAUCUGCCCAGCACAUGGGCAUCACUGCACCCUGAGGCCCUGAUGGUCAGAGAACCUGGUCAGGGUGUGCCUGUCCUGUGACGUGCAGUGCUGCAGGAUCCCCGGGUCUCACCCUGCAUCUGUUCUCUCCACAGCCCAGUACUUCGCCAGCACCAUGAUCAUCGUGGGCCUCUCAGUGGUGGUGACCGUGAUCGUGCUGCAGUACCACCACCACGACCCCGAAGGGGGCAAGAUGCCCAAGUGGGUAUGUUCCUCCCACCCCCGAUGGAGUCGGAGCCCCUCCCUAAAGGAGGCUCCUCCUAGGGUUUAUUUUAAAAAUCACACAGAAAACGGGCAUUCCUAAAGAAACAGCUUUGGGUUUUUUGUUUGUUUGUUUUUUGAGACGGAGUCUCACUCUGUCACCCAGGCAGGAGUGCAGUGGCGUAAUCUUGGCUCACUGCAAUCUCCACCUCCUGGAUUCAAGCAAUUCUCCUGCCUCAGCCUCCCAAGUAGCUGGGACUACAGGCGCCUGCCACCAGGCCUGGCCAAUUUUUUUUGUAUUUUUAGUAGAGAUGGGGUUUCACUAUGUUGGCCAGGCUGGUCUCAAACUCCUGACCUCGUGAUCUGCCCACCUCAGCCU
rnacentral:sRNA from 1 species